GACGAACGCUGGCGGCGUGCCUAAUACAUGCAAGUAGAACGAGUUGCGAACGGGUGAGUAACGGGUGGUAAACUGUCUCAUAGCGGGGGAUAAAUAUUGGAAACGCUAGCUAAUACCGCAUACUGUGCGAUGGACCUGCGUUGUAUUACCUAGUUGGUGAGGUAAAGGCUCACCAGGGCGACGAACCCGAGCUGGUCUGAGAGGGUGACCUGCCACACGGGAACGGAGACACGGUCCAGAUCCCUGCGGGAGGCAGCAGUGGGGAAUAUUGCACAAUGGGCGAAAGCCUGAUGCAGCCAUGCCGCGUGUAUGAAGAAGGCCUUCGGGUUGUAAAGUUCUUUCAUCGGGGAGGCGUUACCCGCAGAAGAAGCACCGGCUAACUCCGUGCCAGCAGCCGCGGUAAUAC
rnacentral:rRNA from 1 species